rnacentral:lncRNA from 1 species
AAGAAACUUAUUUCAUCCCCUAAUGGACCGAGAAUAUGGGUUGGUGGUGCAUGUAUAAAGAAGGGCGUUAGGGGAUGGCAAAUAAGAGCAUGCGGCUCAGGCUUAAGACAAAAGACUAUAACUGAAAACAGAUUCCUUACCCACGGCUUACAAAGAUUUUUACCCACGGCUUACACAUGUCUUGACAAAGACAAAGAUUUAUUACCCACGGCUUACAAGUCUUAAAGACCAAAGACUUUUCUGUUUUCAGUUAUUUGAAUGGUACAGUUUGAGAAAGUCCUAAGACAAGGACUAUAACUGAAAACAUUGUCCCUUGCUGCCUCUAAAAGAAACUUAUGUCAUCCCCUAAUGGACCGAGAAUAUGGGUUGGUGGUGCAUGUAUAAAGAAGGGCGUUAGGGGAUGGCAAAUAAGAGCAUGCGGCUCAGUCUUAAGACAAAAGACUAUAAAUGAAAACAGAUUCCUUACCCACGGCUUACAAAGAUUUAUUACCCACGGCUUACACAUAUCUUAGACAAAGACAAAGAUUUAUUACCCACGGCUUACAAGUCUUAAAGACCAAAGACUUUUUUGUUUUCAGUUAUUUGAAUGGUACAGUUUGAGAAAGUCCUAAGACAAGGACUAUAACUGAAAACAUUGUCCCUUGCUGCCUCUAAAAGAAACUUAUGCCAUCCCCUAAUGGACCGAGAAUAUGGGUUGGUGGUGCAUGUAUAAAGAAGGGCGUUAGGGGAUGGCAAAUAAGAGCAUGCGGCUCAGUCUUAAGACAAAAGACUAUAACUGAAAACAGAUUCCUUACCCACGACUUACAAAGAUUUAUUACCCACGGCUUACACAUGUCUUAGACAAAGACAAAGAUUUAUUACCCACGGCUUACAAGUCUUAAAGACCAAAGACUUUUAUGUUUUCAGUUAUUUGAAUGGUACAGUUUGAGAAAGUCCUAAGACAAGGACUAUAACUGAAAACAUUGUCCCUUGCUGCCUCUAAAAGAAACUUAUGCCAUCCCCUAAUGGACCGAGAAUAUGGGUUGGUGGUGCAUGUAUAAAGAAGGGCGUUAGGGGAUGGAAAAUAAGAGCAUGCGUCUCAGUCUUAAGACAAAAGACUAUAACUGAAAACAGAUUCCUUACCCACGGCUUACAAAGAUUUUUACCCACGGCUUACACAUGUCUUGACAAAGACAAAUAUUUAUUACCCACGGCAUACAAGUUUUAAAGAUCAAAGACUUUUCUGUUUUCAGUUAUAUGAAUGGUACAGUUUGAGAAAGUCCUAAGACAAGGACUAUAACUGAAAACAUUGUCUCUUGCUGCCUCUAAAAGAAACUUAUGUCAUCCCCUAAUGGACCGAGAAUAUGGGUUGGUGGUGCAUGUAUAAAGAAGGGCGUUAGGGGAUGACAAAUAAGAGCAUGCGGCUCAGUCUUAAGACAAAAGACUAUAACUGAAAACAGAUUCCUUACCUACGGCUUACAAAGAUUUUUACCCACGGCUUACACAUGUCUUGACAAAGACAAAGAUUUAUUACCCACGGCUUACAAGUCUUAAAGACCAAAGACUUUUAUGUUUUCAGUUAUAUGAAUGGUAAAGUUUAAGAAAGUCCUAAGACAAGGACUUUAACUGAAAACAUUGUCUCUUGCUGCCUCUAAAAGAAACUUAUGUCAUCCCCUAAUGGACCGAGAAUAUGGGUUGGUGGUGCAUGUAUAAAGAAGGGCGUUAGGAGAUGGCAUAUAAGAGCAUGCGGCUAAGUCUUAAGACAAAAGACUAUAACUGAAAACAGAUUUCUUACCCACAGCUUACAAAGAUUUUUACCCACGGCUUACACAUGUCUUGACAAAGACAAAGAUUUAUUACCCACGGCUUACAAGUCUUAAAGACCAAAGACUUUUCUGUUUUCAGUUAUUUGAAUGGUACAGUUUGAGAAAGUCCUAAGACAAGGACUAUAACUGAAAACAUUGUCCAUUGCUGCCUCUAAAAGAAACUUAUUAUGUCAUCCCCUAAUGGACCGAGAAUAUGGGUUGGUGGUGCAUGUAUAAAGAAGGGCGUUAGGGGAUGGCAAAUAAGAGCAUGCGGCUCAGUCUUAAGACAAAAGACUAUAACUGAAAACAGAUUCCUUACCCACGGCUUACAAAGAUUUUUAUCCACAGCUUACACAUGUCUUGACAAAAACAAAGAUUUAUUACCCACGGCUUACAAGUCUUAAAGACCAAAGACAUUUCUGUUUUCAGUUAUUUGAAUGGUAC